CUCUAACGGAGAAAACUUGAAAUCGAAAAUUACGUGAUUUGAUUUGAUUGGAAAAACCUCUACAUACGCUUUCAAAUACGUGAGAUCGAAGUUAGCCACGGAAGUGAAAGUCAGUCGCUAUUGAUUUAUGUCGAGAGGCACUGCAGUCUCCGUAGUUCAAUGUUAGCCUUGGAAUUAUUCAACAUCUUAAGAUCAAGCUUUCAUACCUCGGUACUCAAACAAAUAUGUUCAUCGGGAUAAUUAGCAACAUUUAUUUCCUGCGACACAUAAUAAACUACUGUGUGCUUCAUACAGUGAAGACGAGAGGACGUUCUCCAUCCAGUGACGUAUGCAAGAUGGAGACAAGUAGAACAUUACACUAACGGUCUCAUGUACGUGUUCGUGUGAAUUGCCGAAAUGUGGCAUUAAACUCCGUGAAUUAACUUUCGACAUUACACGUGUGUAUAAAAGAGGCUUGUGAUUCCUAUGGUGACAACCAAAUAAAUUCCACGUGUACCUGAUUUGCAGAAGAUGGACGUGUCUAAAUGUGACUUUCCUGUGCAUAUGUAUACAUGUAUAUUUCUGACAAGCCGGAUCUUUGUAAUAUCUCGAUACUUUUUAAAAUAAAAUUUUUACAUGUGUACUAACAAUUCUUAAGCGUAAGCAGCCCACUAAUAAAAUUCAACACCCACAAUUGCGUAAAUACAGGCAUCAGUCACGUGACCCAAGAGUCUUUCGAGGUCAACAAAAAGGUAAUAAAUGAAACAUCUUUGAAGUGUAAAGCUAUGGUAGUGACUCAAACACACGAUUGUCCUAUAAUUUGAGAACAUUGAAAUAUUUGAGUGUUCAAGAUCCCGAAAUCGAUAAAAGAACUCAUACGAUGCCUUAACAUAGACAUCUUGCAUCACGUCACUGCGCAUCAUCUUCCGCGCAGAUGCCCCAUUAACCUAACGUAACUGACCCACCGCAACCCAACUGGGGUAUUCUACGUCAGCUGAACAUGGCGACCUGCGCACGGACUUUCGAAAUAUACCAUGGAUGGUCGGAAAUUGCUGCAAUUUCGUAUCGACGUCGUGCCACAGCAAUCAAUAAUAGAAUUCAUAAGAUGCCUUAAUAUAGACAUCUUGCAUCACGUCACUGAGCAUCACCUUCUGCGCAGAUCACCAACAUCCGACGUUAUCAACAAGGAAUUAUGCACAAAGACGUUCCGCCACCACUACCACCACCAAAACCACCACGACUAGAGUUCUCAUACCUACUGCCAAAACAAAAUGAUGAUUCAACAUUACUGACAAAAAAGAUUGUCUUACUGUCACAAGAAUUUAAAUUUGUUGGGAAAUUAUAAACACCAAAACAUUGGAAACGUUAUAGCAAAAGAGGCAUAAGUAACUGAUAUAAAAGAUAUAUUCAUUACUUCUUGUAAAGAAUUUUAUCCUGCAACUCUUACAUAUGGCAAAAAGUACUGUAACUAUGGGAAAAGCAAAAGUAAAAUCAAUGUUCAAGUACAUUUUAAAUGAUUUCCCAUCCCAAAGUCUGGAAAGAUACUUUUAAAAUGCAGGAUUUGAGAUUUUCACAGCGGGUGCAGUCAUCAGUGUGUGGAUAACAUGGUAAAAAAAUAAAUAAAUGCAAGGAAUCCAUGAGGUUUCAAUUUCUGUUAACAGUUCAGAAGAUUCUCAUCAGCAACAGACCAAAUUCAGCUACAUUUACUGAAAGGGCCAGGUCAAUUCAACUAAAGUCUUCCAAUUUUUUAGUAAAAGGGUUGAGCAGAAAACUGUAAAAAUAUGCAUUUUGGACAAUUCAAAAGUACAAAUGGCUGCCACGUGUAAAUCUUAAUGAUAAGGCCAGAAUAUGUUGCAGUUAUUGAGUUAGGUCAAUACCUGAACUGUGUUUAAUAUUUGUUUACUUAUAAG